rnacentral:misc_RNA from 1 species
AAGAUCUCAUAACAUGAAGUUUUACAGAUAGUCUAAAGUUCUAAAACAUUUAAUAAUUAUCAACAUAACAAUUCCAAUAUGUGCAAAACAAGUAACUUUCUGGCAAAAAUAAACUCUUAUUUUCUCCCUUUCAUCACUUCUGCCACUGCCAAAUAAAAUAUCUUUUCAUCAGUCAAGUAAGGUCUACUCAAAGAUGUCGGACAUAUCCGCCACAAAAAUCCUUUGAUUUCAUAAUCUCUAACUUAAUGCAAAAUGAAGCAACAAUGUAAUAUGCCUUUCCAGAGCUUGGUACUUCCUCUUCUUAGUUGAAGUGAU